rnacentral:rRNA from 1 species
UUGAACGCUGGCGGCAUGCCUUACACAUGCAAGUCGAACGGCAGCACGGGAGCAAUCCUGGUGGCGAGUGGCGAACGGGUGAGUAAUGUAUCGGAACGUACCUUUCAGUGGGGGAUAACGUAGCGAAAGUUACGCUAAUACCGCAUAUUCUGUGAGCAGGAAAGCAGGGGAUCGCAAGACCUUGCGCUGAUUGAGCGGCCGAUAUCAGAUUAGCUAGUUGGUGAGGUAAAGGCUCACCAAGGCGACGAUCUGUAGCGGGUCUGAGAGGAUGAUCCGCCACACUGGAACUGAGACACGGUCCAGACUCCUACGGGAGGCAGCAGUGGGGAAUUUUGGACAAUGGGGGCAACCCUGAUCCAGCCAUGCCGCGUGAGUGAAGAAGGCCUUCGGGUUGUAAAGCUCUUUCAGCCGGGAAGAAAUCACAUGGGUUAAUACCCUGUGUGGAUGACGGUACCGGAAUAAGAAGCACCGGCUAACUACGU